rnacentral:rRNA from 1 species
AUUGAACGCUGGCGGCAUGCCUUACACAUGCAAGUCGAACGGUAACAGGGAGCUUGCUCCGCUGACGAGUGGCGAACGGGUGAGUAAAGUAUCGGAACGUACCUUUCAGUGGGGGAUAACGCAGCGAAAGUUGCGCUAAUACCGCAUAUUCUGUGAGCAGGAAAGCAGGGGAUCGCAAGACCUUGCGCUGAUUGAGCGGCCGAUGUCUGAUUAGCUAGUUGGUGGGGUAAGAGCCCACCAAGGCGACGAUCAGUAGCGGGUCUGAGAGGAUGAUCCGCCACACUGGGACUGAGACACGGCCCAGACUCCUACGGGG